rnacentral:tRNA from 1 species
UCCCUGGUGGCUCAGAUGGUAAAGCAUCUGCCUACAAUGUGGGAGACCCAGGUUCAAACCCUGGGUUGGGAA